GGGGGCAUAGCUCAGCUGGGAGAGCAGCAGACUGAAGUGACGCUAUAACAUCUCCUUAUUCUGAAGGUCCCGCGUUCGAUCCGCGGUGCCCCCA